rnacentral:rRNA from 1 species
GACGAACGCUGGCGGCGUGCUUAACACAUGCAAGUCGAACGGAAAGGCCCUGCUUUUGUGGGGUGCUCGAUUGGCGAACGGGUGAGUAACACGUGAGUAACCUGCCCUUGACUUUGGGAUAACUUCAGGAAACUGGGGCUAAUACCGGAUAGGAGCUCCUGCUGCAUGGUGGGGGUUGGAAAGUUUCGGCGGUUGGGGAUGGACUCGCGGCUUAUCAGCUUGUUGGUGGGGUAGUGGUCUACCAAGGCUUUGACGGGUAGCCGGCCUGGGAGGGUGACCGGGCACCUUGGGACUGAGAUACGGCGCAGACUCCUACGGGAGGCAGCAGUGGGGAAUAUUACACAAUGGGCGGAAGCCUGAUGCAGCAACGCUGCGUGCGGGAUGACGGCUUUCGGGUUGUGAACCGCUUUCGCCUGUGACGAAGCGUGAGUGACGGUACUGGGUAAAGAAGCACCGGCUAACUACGUG